rnacentral:rRNA from 1 species
GACGAACCGUGCGAACGUUAUUCGGAAUCACUGGGCUUAAAGGGCGCGUAGGCGGAUUCACAAGUCUGUGGUGAAAUCCUCCAGCUUAACUGGAGAAGUGCCGUGGAUACUGUGAGGCUUGAGGAGGGUAGGGGCAUCUGGAACUGCCGGUGGAGCGGUGAAAUGCGUUGAUAUCGGCAGGAACUCCGGUGGCGAAGGCGAGAUGCUGGAUCCUUUCUGACGCUGAGGCGCGAAAGCCAGGGGAGCAAACGGG